CUUGAGCUAAUACCGGAUACGUCCGCGAGGAGAAAGAUUCAUCGCCGAAGGAUUGGCCCGCGUUCGGUUAGCUAGUUGGUGAGGUAAUGGCUCACCAAGGCGACGAUCGAUAGCUGGUCUGAGAGGAUGAUCAGCCACAUUGGGACUGAGACACGGCCCAAACUCCUACGGGAGGCAGCAGUGGGGAAUAUUGGACAAUGGGCGAAAGCCUGAUCCAGCCAUGCCGCGUGAGUGAUGAAGGCCCUAGGGUUGUAAAGCUCUUUCGUCAGGGACGAUAAUGACGGUACCUGAAGAAGAAGCCCCGGCUAACUUCGUGCCAGCAGCCGCGGUAAUACGAAGGGGGCUAGCGUUGUUCGGAAUCACUGGGCGUAAAGCGCACGUAGGCGGAUUGUUAAGUCAGAGGUGAAAUGCCAAGGCUCAACCUUGGAACUGCCUUUGAUACUGGCA
rnacentral:rRNA from 1 species